GGAGAUUAGGCAUAGGGUCCAUGUGACUAGGGAAAGCAUUAGGGUCCAUGUGACCGAGGGAAAGCAUUAGGUCCAUGUGACUAGGGAAAGCAUUAGGGUCAUGUAGGGUCAAUAGAUGACUAGGGAAAUAGUGACUAGGUACAUUUGACUAAGGGAAGCAUUAGGGUCCAUGUACUAGGGAAAGCAUUAGGGUCCAUGUGACUAGGGAAAGCAUUAGGGUCAUUAGGGUCCAUGUGACUAGGAAAGCAUGGGUCCAUGGCUAGGGAAACAUAGGGUCCAUGUGACUAGGGAAAGCAUUAGGGUC
rnacentral:lncRNA from 1 species